rnacentral:siRNA from 1 species
AGGAAGCCUUUUGGGACCAACAGU